CGGGCUGGACCUCUCGGGGUUACAGCCUUGCUGAAUUAUUCACCCUUGUCUUUUGCGUACUUCUUGUUUCCUUGGUGGGUUCGCCCACCACUAGGACAAACAUAAACCUUUUGUAAUUGCAAUCAGCGUCAGUAACAAAUUAAUAAUUACAACUUUCAACAACGGAUCUCUUGGUUCUGGCAUCGAUGAAGAACGCAGCGAAAUGCGAUAAGUAGUGUGAAUUGCAGAAUUCAGUGAAUCAUCGAAUCUUUGAACGCACAUUGCGCCCUUUGGUAUUCCAAAGGGCAUGCCUGUUCGAGCGUCAUUUGUACCCUCAAGCUUUGCUUGGUGUUGGGCGUCUUGUCUCUAGCUUUGCUGGAGACUCGCCUUAAAGUAAUUGGCAGCCGGCCUACUGGUUUCGGAGCGCAGCACAAGUCGCACUCUCUAUCAGCAAAGGUCUAGCAUCCAUUAAGCCUUUUUUUCAACUUUUGACCUCGGAUCAGGUAGG
rnacentral:rRNA from 1 species